GUCCAGAGUUUUAGCUUGUCAAGAAUUUUCUGAUGGCAUCAUCCAGUGUGGUGGUUAUCCUUCCUGUUUUGGGUCAUCAACAAAUUCUGUACAGCUCCCAUUGCUAUCAACAGGGGUCCUGAUCAGAGGAUGAUAGUAGACUUGUGAUCUUCUGUGAAUUUAUGAACAGAGGAGGAAUCAUCAUAUGCUCUAAGAGAGCAGACAAAUCAACUGAUAUGGAUAUUUGAUUCCAAAUGGGAGAGAAGUUGUUAACCGUCAGGGCUGAAGUAUUUUGUCUGAAGGAAUUUUCCUUCUUUUGGAAGCCUCUGCUGUUUGGCUCAGCAUUUUCUCCUUUUUAA
rnacentral:lncRNA from 1 species